GCGCCUUUGUGUGCCAUUGUUUGCUAAACUCCCGGUUUCAGCCUCACCAUUGCAAGAAUUGCAGUUCACAUAUGGAUUGCUGCGACAUGCUGUGUGGCCAUGUUCCAGAAGCAUUCUCUCCUGAUGUUUCGCCCACAUCUAUGGCAGGCAUCCUCAGAGGUUGUGAGGUAUGGAGAAAACUAAGCAAAGAGGUUAAUAUAUAUCUGUGGAAAGUCUAGGGUGAGAGAGGUCAGUGUGAAUGUUGUGUAGUUAAUCACUUUGAUUAGCAUUGAAAAGCUUAUCUGCUGUCUUCUUCCUGCCUCUGGGGCAUCCUUUGUUUAGAGUCGUUAACUGCCCUUGGUUGAUUCAUGUCUGGAAAUCCUCUGUUUUCAGAGUAUUGCUUUUUAUUUACUGUUCUGAUUUUUGAGUUUUUUAAUACUGGUAGCCAAAUUUUGUUCAUUUUCAUGGUUUCUUCCUUUCUGUUGAAGUUGUCCACAUGCUUGUGGAUUUCAAUGGCUUCUCUGUGUAGUCUGACAUGAUAGUUGUUAGAAUGGUCCAGCAUUUUUGUGUUCUCAAAUAGUAUUCUGUGUCCAGGCUGGUUCAUCAAAUGCUAUGCUAUGGCUGAUUUCUGUGGUUGAAUUAGUCUGCAGUGCCUUUCAUGUUCUUUGACUCUUGUUUGGGCGCUGCGUUUGGUGGUCCCUCUGUAGACUUGUCCACAGCUGCAUGGUAUCUGGUAGACUCCUGCAGAAGAGAGAGGAUCCCUCUUGUCCUUCGCUGACUGUAGCAUUUGUUGGAUUUUCUUCGUGGGUCUGUAGAUAGUUUGUAGGUUGUGCUUCUUCAUCAGCUUCCCUAUGCGGUCAGUAGUUCCCUUGAUGUAUGGGAAGAACACUUUUCCUCUGGGUGGAUCUUUGUCUUGACUCUCAUGGCUUGUUCUUGGCCUUGCAGCUCUUCUGAUGUCUGUGGUGGAGUCUCCAUUGGCCUGUAGAGCCCAGUUUAGGUGGUUUAGUUCACCUUGGAGGAGGUGAGGUUCGCAGAUUCUUUGUGCACAGUCUGUCAGGGCUUUGAUUGUGCUCCUUUUUUGACUUGGGUGAUGGUUGGAGUUUUAUUAUCCCAUGGGUGGGACUCAAAGUGGUGAACAAUGGUUAAAGCAACAGAAAUUACAUGAUACAAAAGCACAACAUCAUGACCCCAUUUUUUUUUUUUUCGUGUCAGGAGUUACUUGAGAAAUUGCAAGUUGCUUCUGGUGUGAGAGAAUUGGCCGUCUGCAAGGACAUUGCCCAAAGGACGCCCAGAUGUUUUGAUGUUUUUACCAUCCUUGUGGGAGGCUUCUCUCAUGUCCCCACAUGGGGAGCUGGAGCUGACAGAGGGAGCUCAUCCACGCUUUCCCCAGAUUCGAACCGGCAAGCUUCAGGUCAGCAACCCAACCUUCAAGUCAGCAGUCCUGCCAGCAAAAGGAUUUAACCCAUUGUGCCACCCCAAAUAAAACAGAUAAACAAAUAACACAUUACAUCUAUCUAAAAGGAUAAAAAAAAAUUCGGCCUAGGACAAAACAACAAAACUACACAUCCCAGAAACACUAAACUUGGCAACACAACCCCUCAUCCAUGCCUCUACGUUCAUACAACAAAAAGAAAAGAAAAGAAAAAUAAAGUCCUAAUUAGAGGGAAAGGAAUAAUUGUUUUUAUCCAAUUGCUGCCAGUUAGAAGGCUAAGCUCUGCCCACUUGGUCUCCUAGCAACCUACUCAGCCCAGGGGACAGGCACAGUUAGGCCUCAGGCCUCUUCCACACUGCCUAUAAAAUACAGAUUAUCUUAUUUUAACUGGAUUAUAUGGCAGUGUAGACUCAAGGCCCUUCCACACAGAUAUAUUACCCAUUUAUAAUCUUAUAUUAUCUGCUUAUACAAUACUACACAGGGACAUAGACCCCCCUCUACCCUCACCACUUUCACAUACACAAACAACCAAAUGCAUACUAAACAUAAAGACAGCCAUACAACAGACAUUCAAUACCACCACUACCUCUACAAGUUCUCACCAACACCACCAGACAACGCCACAGCAACACGUGGCUGGGCACAGCUAGUAAACCAUAUAUAACAAGCUUAAGAAAUACGACAUGUGCCACUAAAAUUCCCUGGGCCUCAGGUCACUGAGGUUGUCCAUAAAACAUUAUACUAUACUAUAUACGAUAGACAUCAAACUAAAUUUGUGAUUGCAUGAUUAGACAACAAGCAUGAUUAGCAGCCUUAGGAAAAGACUUACAAGUAUGUCGAGUUAAUUGCCUCUCAGAAUUAGCAGGCUUGUCUUAAUUUUUUAAAUUGUUGUUUUAAAGGUCCUUAGGGAAAAAAUCUUGAGCUUCAAGUUUGUCAAUAUGAGAAAAAUACGAAAAUAAUACUCUGCCCUUCAGCACUUGCAAUGAAAAAGGACACUAGAAAGAGAACUGUCCAAUUCAGUUUUUUUGAAAUUGUACAGGUUUUGUGAGUGGCUUCUUCCUAAAGUGUUAUUGCAUUGGGUUGCUGUGAGUUUUCCGGGCUGUAUGGCCCUGUUCCAGAAGCAUUCUCUCUUGACAUUUUGCCAGCAUCUAUGGCAGGGUUGUGAGGUGUGUUGGAAAACUAUGCCACAGCUUAAGAUAAAGUAAAGGUAAAGGUUUCCCUGACAUUAAGUCCAGUCAUGUCUGACUCUGAGGGUUGGUGCUCAUCUCCAUUUCUAAGCUGAAGAGCCGGCGUUGUCCUCCAAGGUCAUGUUGCCGACAUGAUUGCAUGGAGUGCCGUUACCUUCCCGCUGGAACGGUACCUAUUGAUCUACUCACAUUGGCAUGUUUUCAAACUGCUAGGUUGGCAGAACAGCUUAAGAUAGUUGGGCUAAAACUAACAAAAUGAACUUCAACAAGGGCAAAUAUAGCAUACUCCACUUAGGCAGAAAAAAAUGAAAUGCAAAGAUACAGAAUGAGGGAUGCCUGGCUUGACAACAAUACGUGUGGACAGGAUCUUGCAAUCUUUGUGGACAUUAAGUUGAACAGUGUGAGGCAGCAGCUAAAAAGGCCAAUGGGAUUUUGGGUUGCAUCAAAAGGAGUCUAGUGUCUAGUUCAAGGGAAGGCAUGGUGCCUCUCUCUUCUGCUUUGGUCAGACCUCACCUGGAAUACUGUGUCCAAUUCUGGGAAGCACAGUUCAAAGGUGUCCAGAGAAGGGCGACUAAAAUGAUCAAAGGUCUGGAGACCAUGAAUCCCUAUGAGGAGCAUUUUAAAGAACUAGGAAUGUUUAGCCUGCAAAAGAGAAGGCUGAGCGGAGACACGAUAGCCAUGUACAAAUAUGUGAAAGGGUGUGAUGUCCCAUGGGCCAUAGAGUCCUGAUCCCAGUGCCAUUGUGGCUGAUGAGGAGGGAAACAGAGGAUUUUUGCCGGCUCAGCAAGAGCCGGAAUCUUUCCAGAUGCCUAUUGUUGAUGUUUCUGCCCGAGAGCCCAUUACGGAAGACCUUGACCAGGCCUUUCCCACUGCCUCCCCUCCUUUUCCCAGGAAACAGUUCUAUGCGAUGGGCAGGAGCGAGAAAGAGCAGGUUCGGAGGAGCUUGAGAAUAACAGCUAAACAAGACGCUAAUUAGACAUGUUCCCCUGGGAAACUCUAGGGAGGAACGCAUCUGGAGGGAGAUGUGUUUCGUUCUCCUUUCCCUUGGGAAAGGAAGCUGGACACCUGCUUUGCAGAGAAAUGAAACCGGGAUAAAAGUGCCCGACACGAAGAAUUCCGUGCGGAGUCAACAGAUCUACUUCGGGAGUGAUUUCGUGGUUCCAGCCAAGUGUGGACUUCGCAAAGUCCGCAUCUCCAGUUCCUUGCCUUGCCUUGUCUAGCCAAGUAUUCAAGAACUAUCUUGCCUUGUUUCCAGCCUUGGACCUUGCUCCUAGUAUCAAGCCUUGUUUCUAACUUUGCUGUGGACUUACUCUGAACUUUGGAAAGAAUUUGGACGUUUCCCCACUCUAUUGCUUGCAAAUAGAGUGUGUUUCGGUUUGGAUCUUCAACUUUGGACUCUAAUAUAAAAUAUUGGACAAUAUAAUUUUGGACUAUUUCUGACCUUUCCUGAAAGGUCUUUUAUUGGACUAUAUUUCCUACUUGUUUUUAUUAUUCUUACAUAUUUCCUUAAUAAAGAUAUUAGAUAGUUUUUGGCCUCCGUGUGUCGGUUCUUAGUGCUCUCGUUGCCCUGGGCGUGACAAAGGGUUUCAUAAGGCAGAGGAAGCAGACUUGUUUUCCACUGCCCUUGAAACUUGGACUUUUUAAAAUCUAUGUUAAUUUUAUCAAUAUUUGUAUGUAUGUAUUUUUAUCCUUUACAAUUUUAUCUUGUAAAUCGCCUAGAGCAUCUUGGAUGGAGGGCGAUUAAUAAGUAAUUAAAUGAUGAUGAUGAUGAUGAUGAUAAUGAUGAUGACUUGGAGCAAUGGGUUCAAAUUAAGAAUGGAGAUUCCACCUGAACAUUAGGAAGAACUUCCUGACCAUACAAGUUGUUCAACAGUGGAACUCUCUGCGUCAGAGUCUGGUGGGAGCUUCUUCCUUGGAAACUUUUAAACAGAGGUUGGUUGACCAUCUGCCAGGGGUGCUUUGAUUGUGCUUUUCCCGCAUGGCAGGGGGUUGGACCAGAUGGCCCAUGUGGUCUCUUCCAACUUGAUAUUCUAUGAUUCUAUGACUUGGCCAGCUGGAGUUCGCUGCUGUCAUCCAGACCCUCAGUGGAGAGUUGCAGUCAGUCAGGAUAAGUGUUGGUGCCUUGAAAGGAAAGAGGAAGAACCAGACCUGCUGUCUGUGCCAAUUGGGUCUCCAAGGGGAGGGUAUGCCACAACUAGGGUGUAACAGCUGAAAAUACUUUCUUCCAUUUUCCUUGCAUAACCUUUUUCCUAUGUCUUUUAAAAUAUGGCCAUAUUGCUAUUCACUUUGUUGGAUGGAGACAGUCUGGAACGACAUUGAACACUUAGACUAUCUUACAAUGUGAUCUCACUGAAUACAGUUCCAAUUACAGUAGAGUCUCACCUAUCCAACAUAAAUGGGCCGGCAGAAUGUUAGAUAAGUGAAUAUGUUGGGUAAUAAGGAGAGAUUAAGGAGAAGCCUAUUAAACAUCAAAUUAAGUUAUGAUUUUACAAAUUAAGCACCAAAACAUCAUGUUAUAAAACAAAUUUGACAGAAAAAGUACAAUAUGCAGUAAUGCUACGUAGUAAUUACUGUAUUUACGAAUUUAGCACCAAAAUAUCAUGGUAUAUUGAAAACAUUGACUACAAAAAAAGGUUGGAUAAUCCAGAACGUUGGAUAAGCGAAUGUUGGAUAAGUGAGACUCUACUGUAUUCACAAAAAUAUUUGAAUACCAAAGAGUCAUGCUAAUGCCUAGGGAAGUGUUCUCAUCAGGUUGAGAGUGCAAUUAUAAGUUCAAAUUCUGCCAGAUUUUGACCACAGAAUUCAACUGGAAGUCUUGAGAGACUUCUACAGACAUCACUAGUGUCAUGGUUCGCAAAGGCACUGUGCUGUGUGUGUUAACUGGAAAAUUAAGUGCAUGAAGCUGAUUGGCUGAGCCUGCAAAGAUCUGGGGAUCAAUUGAUACUGUUUCUGUUCUGCUGCUGCAGAACAUAUUUGCACAAGUUUUCAGUGCUGACUGAAUACAGAGAGGCCUUACUAUUUUGAGGCCUACUUUGCUGCUGAGGAAAGAGGGAGAAGAACCAGGACUGUAUUCUUCUCUGAAGCAAAUUUGUGGACUGAGAAAGGAUUGUUUAUGACUGUAGAUUUCUGUAAGUGAUCAGAGGGACCAUUGUAAAUACUACCUUUUUUUGAUCUCUUGGUGUUGCAUGAAAAUCCGGGGUAGUUACCCCAGGAGUUGUAAUACACCUGGAUCGCUUCAAUACUCACUUUGUUUCUUCGCCCUCCGUCUCGUCCUGACAAUAAAAAUGUGCAUUUGUUGUGGUUCAGCUUUU